CAGAAAAUAGUUUAUUAAAAAUAUUAAUUUUGGAGAUUAAUGAUAAGAAAGUCUUUUUUCUGA
rnacentral:tRNA from 1 species